rnacentral:rRNA from 1 species
CCUACGGGUGGCUGCAGUGAGGAAUAUUGGUCAAUGGGCGAGAGCCUGAACCAGCCAAGUCGCGUGAAGGAUGACGGCCCUACGGGUUGUAAACUUCUUUUGUCAGGGAGCAAUUGGGUCCACGCGUGGGCUUAGCGAGAGUACCUGAAGAAAAAGCAUCGGUUAACCCCGUGCCAGCAGCCGCGGUAAUACGGAGGAUGCGAGCGUUAUCCGGAUUUAUUGGGUUUAAAGGGUGCGUAGCGGGAAUAUCAAGUCAGCGGUAAAAAUUCGGGGCUAAACCCCGUCGUGCCGUUGAAACUGAGGAUCGUGAGUGGGCGAGAAGUAUGCGGAAUGCGUGGGGUAGCGGUGAAAGGCAUAGAUAUCACGCAGAACUCCGAUGGCGAAGGCAGCAUACCGGCGCCCAACUGACGCUGAAGCACGAAAGCGUGGGGAUCGAACAGGAUUAGAUACCCCAGUAGUC